rnacentral:rRNA from 1 species
CAGUAGCCACGGAAUACGGAGGGUGCAAGCGUUAUCCGGAUUUAUUGGGUUUAAAGGGUCCGUAGGCGGAUCUGUAAGUCAGUGGUGAAAUCUCACAGCUUAACUGUGAAACUGCCAUUGAUACUGCAGGUCUUGAGUAAAUUUGAAGUGGCUGGAAUAAGUAGUGUAGCGGUGAAAUGCAUAGAUAUUACUUAGAACACCAAUUGCGAAGGCAGGUCACUAAGAUUUAACUGACGCUGAUGGACGAAAGCGUGGGGAGCGAACAGGAUUAGAUACCCCGGUAGUCCCUGUCUCUUAUACC